UGGGGAAUAUUGGACAAUGGACGAAAGUCUGAUCCAGCGAUUCUGCGUGAAGGAUGAAGGUCUAUGGAUCGUAAACUUCUUUUUUGGUGGAAGACGAAUGACGGUACACCAAGAAUAAGGGACGGCUAACUACGUGCCAGCAGCCGCGGUAAUACGUAGGUCCCGAGCGUUAUCCGGAAUUACUGGGCGUAAAGAGUCUGUAGCCGGACAUAUAAGUCUGUUUUCAAAUACCUCGGCUUAACCGAGGAAAGGGAAUAGAUACUGUAUAUCUAGAGAUUUUUAGAGGUUAGUGGAAUUUCCGGUGAAGCGGUGAAAUGCGUUGAUAUCGGAAAGAAUGCCGAAAGCGAAAGCAGCUAACUAUAAUCUAUCUGACGGUGAGAGACGAAAGUUUGGGUAGCAAACGGG
rnacentral:rRNA from 1 species